rnacentral:rRNA from 1 species
CAGCCGCCGCGGGAAUACGUAGGUCCCGAGCGUUGUCCGGAUUUAUUGGGCGUAAAGCGAGCGCAGGCGGUUAGAUAAGUCUGAAGUUAAAGGCUGUGGCUUAACCAUAGUACGCUUUGGAAACUGUUUAACUUGAGUGCAGAAGGGGAGAGUGGAAUUCCAUGUGUAGCGGUGAAAUGCGUAGAUAUAUGGAGGAACACCGGUGGCGAAGGCGGCUUUCUGGACUGUAACUGACGCUGAGGCUCGAAAGCCAGGGGAGCGAACGGGAUUAGAUACCCGCGUAGUCCCUGUCUCUUAUACA